CGGAAAAGGACCCCGGCGGCCUCGCGGUGGGCAGAACCCAGCAAGGCGAGAGAAACCAGCAGUUUGCUGCGUACCACUUCGUCCGUCAGAUCUUCCAAACAGGCUCCCAGGAAACGCAGCUCCAGCGGGAUGCACAGAUCCAGCAGGCCGCACAAAAACUCCACUCUCUGAGGCGAGGGCAGCUCCGAAAACCACCGCCUUUCCAUCCUCCGUCCCGGAGAGCCGGGCCUUCCUCCGGAGCGGUUCCGACGUACGCGACCGAGGGAAAGAAUCCCUCGCUGAAGGCGGCGCGGAGGCGGACGGCCCGCGGCGGAGGGAUCCCGCAGUGAGGCGUCCCAGCCGGCGCGGAGCGGGGAGGGGGAGAGAGAGAAAAGAAGGAGCGACCGAGCGCCUCCACUCCCGGCCUGACCCCGCGGCGAAGCCCCGCCCACCGCCCUCCCCAUUGGCCCGGCCGGCUACUCGCGGCUGGAGAUUGGCUGCUAGCGAGCUACACCCGCCUCCCUCCCUCUGUCAAUCGCUACCGUUAAGCGCCCGCUUAGCUCCGCCCCCUUCCGCUGAUUGAAUAGGGGAGGGGCGGGAGCGGGCGGCUUUUGUGUGGGGCCGCGGGCGGGCGGGCAGGUUGGGGAUGGGUUUCUGUGUGCCCUGAGGGGCCGUGGUGGCGGCAACGGGGUUGUCUGCAACCGGAGUUGCUUUGGCAGGUGACUUCAGAUGGUCAAAAAUUCCAAACAUUGCUCGUUUAUCCCUUUUUUUCGUUUCCCUCUGGAAUAUCGCAGCCUAUCUAACUACGUUCCUUGAGGUCCCGUUCAAACGCAAGAGCGAGCAUCCGACAGGAGCUGGGGAUGCACGAUGUCCCACAUUGUGCAGCUGCACAGCUCUGCUUCUGCAGGGCUCCUGCUGCGAGAGGGUCCUUGAAAAGCCCGAAGCCCCUCAGCAUGCUUUGCUUGCAAGCAAUCCGUCGUGCAAUGGAAACCAGAUGGACUUCCUUUUCCUGCCGUGCCCAGUAUUGUCCCUGGGAGGAGGGGAGAUGCAGAGGAAGCUCUCUCAGCCCCUUAGGAGAGGCUUACAUUGCGUUGAGUUGGGGGCCAAGCAGCCUGCAGGAAGACACCGAGUUCUGGGGGCUUCAUUGCCCAUGUUGGUGUUUUUUACUCAGCGUUAAUCCAUGCUGAAAGCACCGUGCUGAGCAAGGCAAUCUCUAACCUGAAGCCCAGUGCGUGAACUGGGAGCCUUUGAUCAAAAAUAGCUCUGCGUGAAGCCCUUGCAAACCAAAGCAAGGAACCACCCUCAGCAAAAUAUAUCAGCUUUAUGGCAGCUCAUGUUACUCCUUGCUCCAGGAGUGAAGGUCGUGCUGGGGUGCAGCCACAUGCCUGAAGAAGAGCAGCUUUUUGGACACCAAAACCACCCCGUUCCCUCCAUCGUCUCUCUGUAUAAAUUCCCCUUCUGCACACUUGAGACAAACAGCUGAGGAACAUUCCUUGCUGGAAUAAUUGGUAAAUACUAACUGAGAGUGCAGUUAUUUUCCUCUUUUCAUACUUUCAGCACAUGGAGAAGCUGUUACUGAAUGUGCUGACCCAUUUUUUUCCAAUGCUGGACACAUCCACUUCAGUUCUCACCCAUCAGCUGAAAGGUUUGGGCUGUUCUCACAUUGCCUUGAUGCUGCAUCACAAGGAGCACAGCUGAAGUGCUUCUUCUUCCUUCAGCAGCACAACAAAGCAACCUCAGCCACAUCCACCACUAUAAUUUCAUCUUUGUGUGCAUUGGACUCAAUGCAACGUUGCUAGGAUGUCCAAAAGCAUAUGAAAAUUGGUCUGUGUGAAUUGGGUAGCCCUACAGAAGGGGAGAUAUUUCAGAUUAUAAUCCAUCCACAGGGUGAAAAGAAGAUGGGAAUCUCUGUUGAAAUGAGAGGGAGACCUCCAUGUAAGUUGCUGGCUGUUGAAUUGUCCAGCUCUACCCUCAGCCCAGAGCUCCCAGCCUGCAGGUCUCCUCACAGGGGUUCUUCCCAGAGCUCUCCAUAGUUCUCUGCUUGCUUUCAGAAGCUCUUCAACAUUUGUCAUUAAACAGGCAGAAUUACUUACCAGUUUAGCAUUUCUGGGCAUCCUAAGCACGGUUCAGUGCUGCCCCUUUCCAAAACCUCACUCCCCCUUCCCAAAACUGCUCACUCCUGAACAGCCCAUUGCCCACUUCUCGCAUUCCCCAACCCCACAGGGCUGCAGAUUUCUGAUCCCAAAGCAAUCUUUGCUGGCAGGACACACAAGCAAGCAACAGGCUUGCGUGCCAUCGGUGUGGUUAUACAGAGGGGAAGGAUAAAUAUUGCCACGGCAUGAGCACUCAAGUACUUCUGUGCACACACGUUAUUUCCUUUAAGGUUUCUCACAGAUGCUGGGAUUGGAACUCUUGCUUUUGAAAAACAAACAAACAAACCCCGGCUUUGAAGAGCACAGAAAAACAUCACGUGAGGAAAAAGUAAUGAAAAAAAGCCAGAUGUCCGGCCGGCAGCAUCUCUUAUCUUUCACCUCAUAAAAGGAGCGUGUGCGGCUGGGAUGGGGCUCGGAGGUGGCUGCAGAUGGCAGCGAUGUGCCGGGUGGGUGGCACUGCCCUCUGCCGGGCACACACAACCCGGCAUUGGGGUUUGUCGGGGUGUUUUUCCUGCUGGAGGCAUCACCGAUAGGGCUGCACACCCCCCAAGUAAAGCUGCCCCUUGGGUUGCGGUUGCUCGGCCCCGGGAGAUGCUCACAGCUUUCUGGCUUCGCCUGGUUCCCCACAGGGUUUUGUCUCAGCACGAAAACCCACAGCCCCAGGCUGCCAAAACGCUGCCCCCGGCUUCCUUCCUCCUUGCAUUCAUCCCUGAAACCGCUGCAAAACAAACAUCCUUGGUUUUCCCUGCCUCCCCCUUCCCACCACCUCAAUCGCAGCCCUGCUAUUCCCCUUUGACUCCUGCUACAUUCCUCUCCUCCCCCAAUCCAGGAAAGUCUCAUUUGGGCAAUUCCAUUUCCUUGUCCCAGAGCUGGCACAGCUCCUUGCAUGGAUCCAACCCCCCAUGGGUGCCCUCCCAACAGCCCAGGAUGGGUGCGCAGCUCCCAGGCUGCAGUUGGUGUCCCACAUCUGAUGUUGGAAUCAGCCCUUCUACAGCAUUAAUUUGGUCUUUGCUGCGGCCACAUCUGGAAAAUAAAGUCUGGAAGUGUUUACUUGAAUAUUCCAGUGACAUUCCUUGGGGUGUUUUCAUAUCACAUCCCUCCCCUCUUGGCUUCGGGUUGGAAUU